CAGCCGCCGCGGGAAUACGUAGGGCGCAAGCGUUGUCCGGAAUUAUUGGGCGUAAAGAGCUCGUAGGCGGUCUGUCGCGUCUGGUGUGAAAUCCCGAGGCUCAACCUCGGGCUUGCAUCGGGUACGGGCAGACUAGAGUGCGGUAGGGGAGACUGGAAUUCCUGGUGUAGCGGUGGAAUGCGCAGAUAUCAGGAGGAACACCGAUGGCGAAGGCAGGUCUCUGGGCCGCAACUGACGCUGAGGAGCGAAAGCAUGGGGAGCGAACAGGAUUAGAUACCCCCGUAGUCCCUGUCUUUAUACC
rnacentral:rRNA from 1 species